UACGAAGGGGGGCUAGCGUUGCUCGGAAUCACUGGGCGUAAAGCGCACGUAGGCGGCUUCUUAAGUCAGGGGGUGAAAUCCUGGAGCUCAACUCCAGAACUGCCCUUAUACUGAGGAGCUCGAGUCCGGAAGAGGUGAGUGGAACUGCGAGUGUAGAGGUGAAAAUUUCGUAGAUAUUCGGAGGAACACCAGUGGCGAAGGCGGCUCACUGGUCCGGUACUGACGCUGAGGUGCGAAAACGUGGGGGACAAACAGGG
rnacentral:rRNA from 1 species